rnacentral:lncRNA from 1 species
CAGACAUGUGUUGCUCAGAUAAGACAACCUGUGAGGACUUGUGCUGAUGUUCUUGGUUGUUUUGACAGCACUGAGAUACUUUCCUUAAGGAAUAUAAAAGCUGUGCUGCUAAUAAGAAGCAACAGAAACCACAUUGUGUGCUUUUCUCUCUCUCCCCUCCCUUUUCCACAUUUUUUCUGCACUGUUCCUCACCUCAUUUGCUCCUUCUUGAACUGUCUGAGUGAUGCUUCUCCAAUCAGCCCCUCAUCAAACCGAAGUGCCUCUUGGUGCCCUUCACCCCCCGCUCCCACUUCCCAUGGUCAAGUAACGUGGAUCCCAUCAGCUCACCUGCCCCAGGUGUCCCUUCUCAAACCAGGCCAAAAGCCAGAUACCCAACAAGUGACUCCGCAUAAAUUUGGACACGGACAGGACAUGCUCAUCUUUCUUUUCAAAGCAAUUAAAAUUCUCAUUCACUCUUUCCAUCUCUCAUUCUUGCCACAUGUAAUGAAGCAGAAAGACAACAAGGGACACGGUCACUGGGGAUGCUUGUCAAGUCUGUGACAAGCCGCAGAAGUUCCCUAUUAAUAUCACUUGUGAAAACUUCCACAAAGAAAUGCUCCGGUUCCAAGGUCAAGUAUUCAGCUGUGAGGAAAUAACCGUGUCAUAACUUCCCCGGCCACCUCAGCUCAGUUUCACCAUAUAUAGCCUUUAUAAUAUUUAAUUACGUUAUCACAGAUAAUAACCUCUUCAAGGUCUAACCGAUACUAUCAGAGGAGUUUAUCCUCAAUAUGAACAAUUUCAACCAGAAAUGUAUCAAUUUAUGUCUCAAAACUCUAAGAAAAUUAAAAUAAGGUAUUGCAUUUAUAAACUUGACACCAAGGAGUGAUCUAUGUUUGUUUAUCCCGUGUUUCCCUAUGGUUUUACUCUCCACAUAAGCCUCUUUUUUUUUAUUUUUAUUUUUUAUUUUUUUUUUCUCUCUUCUAUUUCACCCUGCUUCCUUUGCUUCUAUUUUUUUUUUUUUCCUUCCCCACUUCAGUGUGUUCUCUGUGGCAGCUGAAACACUGUGAUUUGGGCACACUUCACCAGGAAGACAUUUCAGGAGGAAAAUCACAUUAACCAGGCUAUUUUAUAGUGGUAAAAACGUUGUAGUGCCAUUAAAGCACAGCAGCUGCACAGAACUUCUGGUAAUCAUAGGUCUGAGUUAAGCCAUCUGAGGCCUAGAGGGAAGUCCCCAUCCCAUUUUGGGAACAAUUUCACCACAGAAAAUGGCAGUGGCUGCAGAAGUUUCAGCCAGAGAUCUGGAAGAUGUACCCUGAGCAUACUUAUAUAUAUGUAGGCCUGGGUCAUCUUCUGAGGACACAUCAUACAGGGGUUUUUAUUAGCACCCACCAAGGAAAGAUUUGAGGUAAAUUCCUGCUUGCCUUAAGUUCCAAAGGUGAACUCAACUUGGCAUGGCAGACCCGUGGUCAGGAUAACCGAUGGAGGAGAGCAGGGAGUCCUGUCUCUGCUCAUCCCCCACGUUUCACUGGAAAUGCAGUGACCAAGGUGACCUUGCAGGGAACCCCCAGCCACUGGCAAGCCAGCAAGCCCCUUAUCCAGCUGUAAGGGCUCAUCCAUGCUAGCUUGCUAGCAGAGGCCUGUGCAAAAGCCACUGGAGAUGCCUUGCCAUGAAACAGCCAGUCCCAGUCCUGUCUACAUGAGAAAGCACAAAUAAAUAACAGAAACAGUCUACA